rnacentral:rRNA from 1 species
GAUGAACGCUGGCGGCGUGCCUAACACAUGCAAGUCGAGCGGCAGCGCGGGGUGCUUGCACCCUGUCGGCGAGCGGCGGACGGCUGAGUAACGCGUGGGAACGUGCCCCAAAGUGAGGAAUAACUGCCCGAAAGGGUAGCUAAUACCGCAUAUUAUCUUCGGAUCAAAGGAUUUAUCCGCUUUGAGAGCGGCUCGCGUCGGAUUAGGUAGUUGGUGAGGUAAUGGCUCACCAAGCCGACGAUCCGUAGCUGGUCUGAGAGGAUGACCAGCCAGACUGGAACUGAGACACGGUCCAGACUCCUACGGGAGGCAGCAGUGAGGAAUCUUCCACAAUGGGCGAAAGCCUGAUGGAGCAACGCCGCGUGCAGGACGAAGGCCUUCGGGUUGUAAACUGCUUUUAUAAGUGAGGAAUAUGACGGUAACUUAUGAAUAAGGAUCGGCUAACUACGUG